GUCAGGAGGACCAGUGUAGCUUGCUCUCCAUUACAACGUGGUCCUUUAAAAUUUCCCAGCCAAACAGAUAGAGUAAGCGGUGGCCUUCUCGAAGGGCAAAAGGACCUACUCCAAAUGGGCAAACACCAUGGCCAAAUUCAAGUGCACACCAUUACCCAGCACAUAAAUAACUCACAGCAACAGGUCAGCCAAGGAGCUGCCCACAGGUUUCCAGCCUUCUGGUGGCCCCAGGGAAGUAAGUAACUGCCUUCCGUCACUUCUCCAUUAGAAUUUUUUCAACGAAAUCCCCUUAGAUUCAAUAUCCCAAAACAAAGCUUGUGGCUUUUCCUUUCCAAAUGUAUCCUCAAGCAUCCAUUCAGAAACCAGACUUAGGAGUCGCUCUUGACUCUCUCCCACCCUCACCUCCAUGUAGAUUCCUUCGCCAAGUUCUGUGGAUUCCAUCUGGUCAAUAUUCUUCUAGUCUCAUCCCAUCAAGUGUCUGCCGUCCUCUGGGACACUUGCUCCAUGUCAACAUUGUCUCUUGCCUGGACUAGAGCAGUAGACUCCAAAC